UACGUAGGGUGCAAGCGUUGUCCGGAAUUAUUGGGCGUAAAGAGCUCGUAGGCGGUUUGUUGCGUCGGCUGUGAAAUCCCGAGGCUCAACCUCGGGUCUGCAGUCGAUACGAGCAAACUAGAGUGUUGCAGGGGAGACUGGAAUUCCUGGUGUAGCGGUGAAAUGCGCAGAUAUCUGGAGGAACACCGGUGGCGAAGGCGGCAUCCUGGACCGGUAUUGACGCUGAGGCGCGAAAGCCAGGGGAGCAAACGGG
rnacentral:rRNA from 1 species